CUAGAAAAACAGGUGUUGAACCUAUACCUGAGAAUUCAAAAAUCUCCGUGCUACCGAUUACACCACAAUCUA
rnacentral:tRNA from 1 species